rnacentral:rRNA from 1 species
GACGAACCGAGCGAACGUUGUUCGGAAUAACUGGGCUUAAAGGGCGCGUAGGCGGUCAGCACAAGUCAGUUGUGAAAUCUCCGGGCUUAACUCGGAAAGGUCAACUGAUACUGUGCGACUAGAGUGCGGAAGGGGCAACUGGAAUUCUUGGUGUAGCGGUGAAAUGCGUAGAUAUCGUAAGGAAGACCAGUGGCGAAGGCGGGUCUCUGGACAGUUCCUGACGCUGAGGCACGAAGGUCAGGGGAGCAAACGGG